CUUCAAUCACCCCUGAAGAAUGUAUUUUGGCUCUCUCCCAUUUCUGACGUUCUCUUCUUGUCCCCUCUUCAUCUGCUUUAAGGGUGCUUUCAACACCGGCAUUCAGCUGGGUACCCUUGGCCUGCUCUUGACAAGCUCUUCUUCCCUCUUUUGGAGACAAUCUGAGACAUCCCCACGAUUUGAAUUCUACUUUUUAUUUUUGUUUCUUUUUACUGCAAGCCUUCAAUCCUGUUGCGCUGAUACAGUCGCAUAAUGAACUGUCGGAUCAGCACACAUCCAUCGAGGAGAAUGAUCUUAUAAAUGAGGUCUCUGGCCUCCCCUCUACCUUUUUCAUCUCUUCACCUCUUUCUGAUGCCUUGAGGUGACUGCCGCAGAAUCCAAAGGAAACAUUACAUGACUUGGUUCUUGAACAAAAACUGGGCCGUGCAGAGUGUAAUCAUCUGAAAGAAGAAGAGAAAAGUUCCACGUUGAAAACCACCUUUCUAACAGGAGCCACAACCAGGAUCAAUACCACAAUGAGAAAAAAAACAACAAAUGAAAAACAGAGGUGCUCAGGAUUCGAUCUCACUUUUAAGAAGAAAUUUCCCAUCGAAGGAUAACCUCAGAGCGGUGUUUGUAGAGUUAAGACAGGGCUCCCCUGCCACAUGUUGGUCAUUUCUUUCACAAACAGCUUCCAGACACAAGCUGUCUGGCAUCUCCCCAUCUUCCUUCUAUGUCUUAUUGUUCCAUCUGCCUUGGCCCAAUCUUCUAUUCUGUUCACAUUUUGUGCUUCCUACAUCCGUUUUGUACGGCUAUUAUUUUGGAGGGCUGUGUAAUGCCACCAAGUUAACAAUUUCCCCCCUUGUAAUUAAAGGCCAUAAUUGGAAACAAUAAUGACUUUUUUUUUAAAAAAUAAAAUGUUAAUAAGAAACAGUUCUAUAUUGAACACACACACACAAAGCCUACUUAAAAUUAUUAUGCAGACAAAUAAAAAAAAUAAGUCUGUAGUUCUGAUUUCUAAACUGAUCUAUAGCAAAGGACCAGUUUUAAGUGAACUGAUCAUGUAGUUGAACACACGGCAAAGGCAA